rnacentral:rRNA from 1 species
CAGCAGCCACGGUAAUACGUAGGUCCCGAGCGUUGUCCGGAUUUAUUUGGCGUAAAGCGAGCGCAGGCGGUUAGAUAAGUCUGAAGUUAAAGGCUGUGGCUUAACCAUAGUACGCUUUGGAAACUGUUUAACUUGAGUGCAAGAGGGGAGAGUGGAAUUCCAUGUGUAGCGGUGAAAUGCGUAGAUAUAUGGAGGAACACCGGUGGCGAAAGCGGCUCUCUGGCUUGUAACUGACGCUGAGGCUCGAAAGCGUGGGGAGCAGACAGGAUUAGAUACCCGCGUAGUCCCUGUCUCUUAUACC